rnacentral:rRNA from 1 species
GACGAACGCUGGCGGCGUGCUUAACACAUGCAAGUCGAACGGAAAGGCCCUGCUUUUGUGGGGUGCUCGAGUGGCGAACGGGUGAGUAACACGUGAGUAACCUGCCCUAGACUUUGGGAUAACUUCAGGAAGCUGGGGCUAAUACCGUAUAGGAGCUCCUGCUGCAUGGUGGGGGUUGGAAAGUUUCGGCGGUUGGGGAUGGACUCGCGGCUUAUCAGCUUGUUGGUGGGGUAGUGGCUUACCAAGGCUUUGACGGGUAGCCGGCCUGAGAGGGUGACCGGCCACAUUGGGACUGAGAUACGGCCCAGACUCCUACGGGAGGCAGCAGUGGGGAAUAUUGCACAAUGGGCGGAAGCCUGAUGCAGCAACGCCGCGUGCGGGAUGACGGCCUUCGGGUUGUAAACCGCUUUCGCCUGUGACGACGCGUGAGUGACGGUAAUGGGUAAAGAAGCACCGGCUAACUACGUG